ACAAAAUGUUUUUCCAUGCAGUUGCCACAGUCAUCAAAAGUAGACUGUUGUGAAGGUUUCUCUUUCUUUGACAACGAAAUCGAUUGGUUCCAUCUCCAAUUAUAGCAAGAAUGUGUGCACCAACACUUUGACGAUCAUUCAAGUCAUGAGUAUGAGUCUGCUCAUAUGUCAUCAUACAUUGGUGAAAUUAGUAUUCCGAGAUAAAGCCCGUAGAAAACAAUGUGAAGAAAUGUAAUAACGUUCACCUUAUGUGCAAAAACAAUCUGAUCACAGUACAUAAUAUAACUCAAUUGAUUCAUGCAAUCUAUCAUAAUCUGAAUUCAAACAAGCAACUUCCACAAAAAUAGAUUUGAAUUACAUGUGAUCAAAAAAUUAUGAAGAAUGAAUCGUGACGGUGGUGGUAUUGUUAUACAAAUAAAAAUGUGAAACACAAAAAUAUAACCACA
rnacentral:lncRNA from 1 species